AUCCAGUUGACGAGUCCUAAAUAUGACGAAAUGCGAAUCCUGGAU
rfam:Trichobilharzia regenti genome assembly, scaffold: TRE_scaffold0036141